rnacentral:tRNA from 1 species
GGAAGCGUGGCCGAGCGGUUGAAGGCACCAGUCUUGAAAACUGGCGAGGGUUUGCGCCCUUCGUGAGUUCGAAUCUCACCGCUUCCGCCA